GACGAACGCUGGCGGCGUGCUUAACACAUGCAAGUCGAACGAAGUGGCGAACGGGUGAGUAAUAUGUGAGUAACCUGCCCUCCUGUUUGGGAUAAGCCUUGGAAACGGGGUCUAAUACCGGAUAAAGGGGGGUGGGCUCGCGGCCUAUCAGCUUGUGGGUGGGGUGAUGGCCUACCAAGGCGGUGACGGGUAGCCGGCCUGAGAGGGUGACCGGCCACAUUGGGACUGAGAUACGGCCCAGACUCCUACGGGAGGCAGCAGUGGGGAAUAUUGCACAAGGGGCGCAAGCCUGAUUCAGCCAUGCCGCGUGUAUGAAGAAGGCCUUCGGGUUGUAAAGUACUUUCAGCGAGGAGGCGUUACUCGCAGAAGAAGCACCGGCUAACUCCGUGCCAGCCGCCGCGGUAAUAC
rnacentral:rRNA from 1 species